UUGAACAAAGAACAGAAAGGGCUGCUUUGGU
rnacentral:piRNA from 1 species